rnacentral:rRNA from 1 species
GACGAACGCUGGCGGCGUGCUUAACACAUGCAAGUCGAACGGAAAGGCCCUGCUUUUGUGGGGUGCUCGAGUGGCGAACGGGUGAGUAACACGUGAGUAACCUGCCCUUGACUUUGGGAUAACUUCAGGAAACUGGGGCUAAUACCGGAUAUGAGCUCCUGCUGCAUGGUGGGGGUUGGAAAGUUUCGGCGGUUGGGGAUGGACUCGCGGCUUAUCAGCUUGUUGGUGGGGUAGUGGCUUACCAAGGCUUUGACGGGUAGCCGGCCUGAGAGGGUGACCGGCCACAUUGGGACUGAGAUACGGCCCAGACUCGUACGGGAGGCAGCAGUGGGGAAUAUUGCACAAUGGGCGGAAGCCUGAUGCAGCAACGCCGCGUGCGGGAUGACGGCCUUCGGGUUGUAAACCGCUUUCGCCUGUGACGAAGCGUGAGUGACGGUAAUGGGUAAAGAAGCACCGGCUAACUACGUG